rnacentral:rRNA from 1 species
UACGGAGGGGGCGAGCGUUAUUCGGAAUUAUCGGGCGUAAAGGGCGCGUAGGCGGCUGCACAAGUCAAAGGUGAAAUCCCUCGGCUCAACUGAGGAACUGCCUUUGAAACUGUGCGGCUUGAGGCCGGGGAGGGGGUAGCGGAAUUCCCAGUGUAGCGGUGAAAUGCGUAGAUAUUGGGAGGAACACCAGUGGCGAAGGCGGCUACCUGGACCGGUUCUGACGCUGAGGCGCGAAAGCGUGGGUAGCAAACAGG